rnacentral:tRNA from 1 species
GGGGCUGUAGUUUAAUUGGUAAAAUGCUGUGGGUUGGUACCCAGCGAUGCCAGUUCGAUUCUGGUCAGUUCCACCA